rnacentral:rRNA from 1 species
GGUGAACCUGCGGAAGGAUCAUUGAGUUUGUGGUUUAACAUGGGCAUAUUGCCAUCCUUGUGUAAUGUAUGUGUGAUAGUGUAUGUGCCUUUGGUCUCUGGGCCACAGGCACACUACUCUUUCUUUAAACUCUUUUUUAUAUCUUUUCUCUGAACCUUUCUUUGCGUGCUUUGGAAACAGGCACCAAAAACAAUAAUCGAAAACUGCCAGCAAUGGAUCACUCGGUUCUCGCAUCGAUGAAGAGCGUAGCGAAUUGCGAAAAGUAAUGUGAUUUGCAACAGUCGUGAAUCAUUGAAUUCUUUGAACGCACCUUGCACUUGUGUGGGCAACUGCACAGUCUGGCCUGUUUGAGUAUUGACUAGAAAUUCAACUCGGCCUUUGCGCCGGAUGAUGAGUGCUACAUUUUCUCCCUGGAGAGAUGGCACUUGCAAGGCAAAAACUAUUUGCGCAUUUGUGUGUGUUUUGACGCGCGCAGUGCUCAUGAUCUCGAGGCACACUUUUUGUUGCUACUCAAUCGUGUUCAUGAUACAAGCACUCUUGUCGUCACUCACAACCAAGCACUCUUGCGUAGACUUGCUUCAGUCAACACCUCUUUUUAUGCAAUCUCAAAUCAGGUAGGAUUACCCCCUUAACUUAAGCAUAUCAGUCAGCGGAGGAAAAGAAACCAACAGGGAUUCCCUUAGUAACGGCGAGUGAAGCGGGAAUAGCUCAGGCUGAAAAUCCAGUGUUCCUUAAGGAUGUCUUGACGUGUGGUCUGACGAGGCAUGCUCGGUAACAAUGUAAACUCAAGUCCUCUGGAAAGGGGCACCAUGGAGGGUGACAGUCCCGUUCGCAGUUUACAUACAUACGUUGCCAUGAGAGCUGUCUUCAGAGAGUCGGGUUGCUUGGGAGUGCAGCCCAAAUGGGGUGGUAUACGCCAUCCAAGGCUAAAUAUCAGCGAGAGACCGAUAGCGAACAAGUACUGUGAAGGAAAGUUGAAAAGCACUCUGGAGAGAGAGUCAAACGAGCACGUGAAAUUGCUGGCAGGGAAGCGCUGGGCGUCAGUGCGCAUGCUCCUAAGGGAACAGGUUAAGGAUGGUGGUCUGUAGCUAUGUGCAAUGUACAUGGUCAUGGUGCUGCUAUCCUCAGCUGCAAGCCCUUGAGUGUGGGUCAGCAUCGGUUAAGGCUUGUGUCACAUAACGGCUUUGGUUAUGGUGCUUUUGGUACGAUAACCUAGGUGCGGCGUGAUACCCUUGACCGUGGAA